GACCAAAAUAAAAGGAACAGUUUGGACGGAAAUCGACGACUCGAAGAUUCAUGAAAUAAUGAAUUUUAACGACUUUGAUCGCAUGUUCUCAUCAUAUUAAAAAUCUAAGAAUGACCAGAAAGACGGUGGUGCAGAAGCUUGUGUGGCUCCGGAACAAAGGCAAAGAAUUGUCAUUCAUAGAUAGUAGGAAAGCCCAGAACUGUCAAAUUUUGUUAUCAAAACUAAAUAGUUCUAACAAACAGUUAGCGCGAGCUGUUCUCACCAUGGAUUGGUAUGGCGAAUUAUCUGUAGAAAUGCUCGAACAGCUCUUAAAGCUCAUACCCCCUACAAAAGAAAAAAAUCUGCUCGAUGAUCAUAGUUAGAAGAAAGAACAGUUUGCCAAAGCAGACAGAUUUUUAUACGAAAUGUCCAAGUAUGUCGUAUAUGUGACGUGACUGCUUUAAUUUCGUGUACCAAACGUACAAAUCUUUUUUUUGCUUUUAGAAUCAACCGUUACAAACAACGAUUGGCAACUUAUUUUUACGUCAAACGUUUCCCAGAACGAAUGGGCGAUAUAAAAGCAAAAUUUAAACGUAAAAGAUCAUAGAUUUUCUGGGAGGAAUUC